AACGAACGUUGGCGGCGUGGAUUAGGCAUGCAAGUCGAACGAGAAAGUUCCCUUCGGGGGAUGAGUAAAGUGGCGAACGGGAGAGUAACGCGUGGGAAACCUACCCUUCAGCGGGGGACAACAGUUCUAACGAACUGCUAAUACCGCAUACGAUCCGGUGACCGCAUGGUGGCCGGCUGAAAGAUGGCCUCUGCUUGCAAGCUGUCACUGAAGGAUGGUCCCGCGUCCCAUUAGCUAGUUGGCGGGGUAAUGGCCCACCAAGGCGACGAUGGGUAGCCGGCCUGAGAGGGUGUCCGGCCUCACUGGGACUGAGAUACGGCCCAGACUCCUACGGGAGGCUG
rnacentral:rRNA from 1 species